ensembl:lncRNA
GUUUUGUCUGGAACACUAUGAACGCGUCAUCAACCACGUGGUGAAGAAGAACGUUGCCAUUUUAUGUUGAAUGCGUGUGGACCUGGGGAGAUAUCUUUCAAGGUAUAGGUAAUUGGUGUUGAGACAGUUGGGUUGAGACGGGCUUCUGCUUCAAGCAUUGUUCCUAAGGCUCUGUAGAAAUGUGAUAUGGCAGUGUAAGGGGUGUUCCGUUGCAGUAGCUACAUCACCAUCAUUACAUGAUUCUUCAGCUGAUUGCCAGGAUGAGGAGUUUGUGGAAGAGGAAGUUUCUGUUGCACCCCUAGAUAAAUGCAGAAUUUAAGCGCAUUACCACCAUGCCCCUGCAAUCCAGAUUUCUGACACAGCUGGAUGUAAGAUCUGACAAACUUCUAAAGCUGUUCGAAAAACGAGGAGGACAGAUAGGCAAGCGUCUUGAGAGAAC